rnacentral:rRNA from 1 species
GAUGAACGCUGGCGGCGUGCCUAACACAUGCAAGUCGAACGAAGCGCCUGGCCCCGACUUCUUCGGAACGAGGAGCCUUGCGACUGAGUGGCGGACGGGUGGAGUAACGCGUGGGCGAACCUAGCCUUGCACUGGGGGAGUAACAGCCAGAAAUGGCUGCUAAUAACCGCAUAAAGACCGAAGCGCCGCAUGGCGCGGCGGCCAAAGCCCCGGCCGGUGCAAGAU